rnacentral:pre_miRNA from 1 species
UUAAGUUGGCAAGUUAUCUUUGGCUUACUUCAUAAACUUCUCUCUUUUCAUGUUAGGUCUUUUCUUUCGAUAUUAUCUUUAAGAAAAUGUUUAAAAUUGUCGAGUGAUUAGGUUUAAAAAAUUGGAUGUUACUAAAAUGGAAGUGAUGUAUAGUAUGAGAAAAUAAGAGCAUUGUGUGAUAGCCAAAAAUGACUUGCCUGCAACAUAGU